rnacentral:lncRNA from 1 species
CAACUGUGUACGCACUGCAUUUCAUUGCAUCUGUCAUUCUAGAAAUCUGUGAUAUCGGACAGUUAUAGAUAAAAACAACCGACAUUUAUAACGAUAUCUGCUGAUAAUCUCCAUCGACGUCAAUCAAGGUUUCGAAUUUUAUAGUUCUAAAUGAAGUCAUACUGCAGUCCAGAUGCAAUUUCAUCGCGUUGAUUCAGACGUACAAAACAUAAUGCGUCGAGGGAAACACGAGUGGAUACUUUUGGAUCGAUCAAAGCGUAAUGUAUGCUGGCAGAAAACGAAGUCACAACUUUCACGAAUGUUCGCUAAAUUGCCAAUGCACAGUCAACAGUGUACAAGCUGACUGAAUAAAUUGACUUGUCAUAAAAAAAUAUCCAGGAGGAACUUUUGAAUUUCGAGAAUCACCAGAUUUUCCUUUUUACAUCUUAUUACAUUCACUCUGGCGAGUUCAAUACGAUGUCCAAUUUUUGUUUUGCCGUUAUCUCGAUCUUGACCACAUCUUACAUUCAGGUGAAUAGUAACCGACUUGCCAACUUUCUCCGGAUUCUGAUCUUGAGUAGCGGUUCGGAAAGAUGAUUCGGCAGCGGCCUGAUCAGCUCGUAAUCAGUGGUCGGAGCAAUCUUUCGAAAAGCAAAGGUCCCGGGGUCGUAUCUUGGUGCAUUCUAAGCUGUGAAAUAAUUUUUUCUGGAUCCGCCGAAACGCAUGUCGCAAACCACACGUACAUAUGUAUACACAUCAUAAUCUGAAAAUGAUUGGAGGCGAUUCUCUCUAGACUUCGAAAACGUGGAGAUCUACCGACAACACAACUUUAAUUUUCGGGAUUCACCAUAUAACGCACGUUCUUCUCAACGUAUUGAAUUAAAAAAAAGACGUGGUUAACAGGACACGUAAACAAU